UGUAUUUGGUAUGUACCAUCUAGGACACACCAGAAUUACAGGGAAAAUAACAAAUUAUUAAGAAUUAUAGCUAUAAUUUAUUCCAGUUUGGCCAGCCAGACUAAAUAGUUAAACAGGCCCCCGGGCUGUGGUUUGCCCACCCCGAAAUAGGCCUUUUAAGACGAGAGGAUUUACAUUUUUCCCUUAUCUUAAUUUUAAAAAUUAUUUUGAAACAUCAAAUGUCACUUCUAACAAUUCAUUUAAAGUUUUGCUUUUGCAGAAACUACAUUUUUAACCUAAAAACUUGCUUUUCUUAAUCACCAAGUCUGCUGACAACUAUUUUAAAUAACAUGUUAGCUUGGGACAGGGUCUGCAAGCUGAGGCUCUGGAGCCACAGGCUGUUUCAGUAUUAAAGAUUGCUUAGGAAAACAAACUUUAAGCUAUCACUUAAUGAAAUGUACAUUUUAUUUCUUACAUUUUCAGUCCCACUCCUUUGCUUUUUUUCUUCAGGUAACAGGACACAAUUCGAUUUCACUCUUUUUUUUUAAUACAAAACACAGUCAAAGUUAUUUAAUUUCCUCUCAUUUUCCAACAGUAAACGUUUCCUUGGAAACCCUCCUCAUUUUAACCUCUGUGCAAAGUUAAUGAUUCAAAUUCCUUCACGGUUUCUUCACAGCAGAUGAGUCAUUUUGUAAACUCCACAUUUGUAUUAAACUCUCUGUUGAAGUCAGCAGUAGUUCACGCUGGCGUUGGGGAUUCACAGCCAUGCUCGAGCGCACGGCGCUGGCGAACAGAAGCCUCACUGUCCAGAGGGGCCGCGAAAAGCACACCGGCUCCUUUGAACUUUCCUGUCUGAGCUCAGAGCGUUGGAAGACGAAGCUCACAAACACCCAGCUGCUGCUGAAGCUCUGAGCUGUCAAACACGCAAACGUACUGUCAACUCACCCCGGCUCCAGCAGGUGAAAUGGAUCCCGUCACCACAGGGAGGAACAGAAAGUCCCACAAAGAAACACUCUCAGGUUCACUACAAGCGCAGCCUUAUCAGCCCAUCGCUGAGCAUGUUGGAGCUUAAGUGCCUCCUUCUACAAAAACCCAACUCCAGAAAUGCGUCUGCUGUUGGAGAGCUUCUCCAACCUGCAGGCCUCGGCUAAUUCCAGGAGAAAACCAAUUCUUUCACUGAAGGAGAGGAUGAAAUCUGAACUGGCCGGUCUGAGAUCAGCUUUAAACUAACUGAGAUUUCAAUAAUACACCUGUGUCAUGUUUGGUCUUUAAGAACAGACAUCCAGACGAUACCACAUGCAAAUUCUUCUGUUUACUUAUUUCAGAUUCUGCUUUUGGGAAUCAAAAAAACUAGAAUUUAUCCAAUAGUUUUAAGCAAUUUCCUCCUUUACAGUAUCUAAGACGGUUGAGACAAAACAGUAACUUUAACUUUGAUUUUGUAUGAAGAAAAAUAGAGAAGAUAAUGUGGGGAAAACUGGGAAAGAAAAAACGUUAAUCUUUAAUCGGUUUAUAAACUUAAAAAUAAAGAAAAAAAAA